AAAUUGAAGAGUUUGAUCAUGGCUCAGAUUGAACGCUGGCGGCAGGCCUAACACAUGCAAGUCGAACGGUAACAGGAAGCAGCUUGCUGCUUCGCUGACGAGUGGCGGACGGGUGAGUAAUGUCUGGGAAACUGCCUGAUGGAGGGGGAUAACUACUGGAAACGGUGGCUAAUACCGCAUAACGUCGCAAGACCAAAGAGGGGGACCUUCGGGCCUCUUGCCAUCAGAUGUGCCCAGAUGGGAUUAGCUAGUUGGUGAGGUAACGGCUCACCAAGGCGACGAUCCCUAGCUGGUCUGAGAGGAUGACCAGCCACACUGGAACUGAGACACGGUCCAGACUCCUACGGGAGGCAGCAGUGGGGAAUAUUGCACAAUGGGCGCAAGCCUGAUGCAGCCAUGCCGCGUGUAUGAAGAAGGCCUUCGGGUUGUAAAGUACUUUCAGCGGGGAGGAAGGUGUUGUGGUUAAUAACCGCAGCAAUUGACGUUACCCGCAGAAGAAGCACCGGCUAACUCCGUGCCAGCAGCCGCGGUAAUACGGAGGGUGCAAGCGUUAAUCGGAAUUACUGGGCGUAAAGCGCACGCAGGCGGUCUGUCAAGUCGGAUGUGAAAUCCCCGGGCUCAACCUGGGAACUGCAUUCGAAACUGGCAGGCUUGAGUCUUGUAGAGGGGGGUAGAAUUCCAGGUGUAGCGGUGAAAUGCGUAGAGAUCUGGAGGAAUACCGGUGGCGAAGGCGGCCCCCUGGACAAAGACUGACGCUCAGGUGCGAAAGCGUGGGGAGCAAACAGGAUUAGAUACCCUGGUAGUCCACGCCGUAAACGAUGUCUACUUGGAGGUUGUGCCCUUGAGGCGUGGCUUCCGGAGCUAACGCGUUAAGUAGACCGCCUGGGGAGUACGGCCGCAAGGUUAAAACUCAAAUGAAUUGACGGGGGCCCGCACAAGCGGUGGAGCAUGUGGUUUAAUUCGAUGCAACGCGAAGAACCUUACCUGGUCUUGACAUCCACGGAAGUUUUCAGAGAUGAGAAUGUGCCUUCGGGAACCGUGAGACAGGUGCUGCAUGGCUGUCGUCAGCUCGUGUUGUGAAAUGUUGGGUUAAGUCCCGCAACGAGCG
rnacentral:rRNA from 1 species